CAAAGGGCAGCGACACAGCGAUGUGAAAGCCGAAAUCCCGAAAAGCCGGUCUCAGUCCGGAUUGGAGUCUGCAACUCGACUCCAUGAAGUUGGAAUCGCUAGUAAUCGCGGAUCAGCACGCCGCGGUCGAAUACGUUCCCGGGCCUU
rnacentral:rRNA from 1 species